GGCUGAUUAGCUGCCCGGGUCGGUGGCGAGGUUCGGCGCAGUCGCUGGCUGUGCAGGGUGACGGUGGUGGUGUCUUUCCGCGAGCUCUUACAGUCUUGUUUAGCCUUCACUCAGUCUGGAGCGUGUGGCACCGCAGGGUCAGUCGCGCAGAUUCAUAUAAUUAAGGCCAAGGAGGGGUCACCAAACUUUUUUGGUGUCUCUCCCUGGGAAGUAACGUGUGUCGUGCAGUUUGGAGAUGUGUACCGCUACGUCUGACAUCCCAGAUGCUGUUUGAGUACAUUUGGCGUCUGUGAGCAUUUUGGGGAGUUUUUGGUGAAUGGGAUAUUUUAUCUGGGUGGGUUUUGUGAGCCAUGGUACAAAGUCUGUAGGGAUUUGUGUCCUUGUAGACCUGGGUGUGCAUUUUCUGAGCUUUUGGGCAUUAGAGUCACUGGGUGUUAGACCCUUAUGUAGACGUCUGUACCCCAACGUGUGAGGCCUUUGAACUGUUGUGAUUCUGGGUCCCAAGGUGUGAUGUCUCUGAGCUGCUUUAAGAAGGGGUUUGUCUAAAGGUGUAAAGUAUCUGAGCUGUUUGGGGUCUGUGUGUCAGUAGUAAAAUCUCUUACCAUUUUGGCUGUGAGGUCUCUGUCCCGGAACUGAGGGAGUUGGAAACCCGGCAGGUAUGAUUCCGAAGCCUGGAACCCGACGUGCUGAUGGUGCGUUGUUGAGGGUGUCACUUGUCUCCUGGAGUCUCAGUACGUAUCAUAAUCAGUCAAAUGGGGCCAGUGCCCACCUUGGAGGGUACCUGUGCAUGUUAACAGUGUGUGUAAAGGGCCCGGCUCCCAGCUAUGGUUCAGCAAAUGUUUUCUGAGCGCCUGCCAUGUACGUGAGUACUAUUCGAGGAGUUUGUGACAGGACAAAACUGACAAAGUCUCAUUUCAUAGAGUUGGUCAAUAAGUAAAUCAAGGGUGGCAGGUGCUAUGUAUGAAGAAAGAUAGGGCUGGACCAGGGGAAAGGGUAUGUGGAGAUGAUGUUAUUAUUUUAUUCAAGGUAAUCAGGGAAAGUCUCCCUGAAGGAUGACGAAUGAGCAGAGACCUGGAGGAAGUGAGGGAGCACGCCGUGGGAUUACCUGAAGGAAGAGCAUUCCAGGCAGAAGGAACAGCAGGUGCCACAGUCCUGGCGGGGCAGUCUACUUGGCGUGCUCCUGGAUAUCAAGGAGUCCUGUGAUGCACUGGGUCCAGCACGUAGCACUCAUUGAAAGGCCCCGGGUUUCUCAGGAGCUUCCCUGGUGGACAGCAUUUCACACGCGUUGUUAUGAUCCGUUGCCGGAGGGACAAAUUGCGUGAUUAUCUACUAGGAAAGGACUCUUGGAAGCUUGCGCUGGUUUCCUCCGGAUGUUGCCCAGUGCACCUCUCCCCCUGGAUGAUUUGGCUUUGUAUCCUUUUGCUGCAGUAAAUCUUAGCCAUGAGGAUGACUAUGUGCUAGGUCCUUGGGGUCCUCCUAGGAAUUCAUCAAAAGCAAGGGUGGUCUUGGGGCAUCUGAAACAGUGGUGGCAGCUGUGGAUUCACUAGCGAGACUGUGACUCGCUGAAAUACGGUGAAAGCCUUGUUUGAGUAAAGGGAGGAUGAAGCAGUAGGGAUGACGAUCUUUUUGUGCUCAUUGACUGUGGAUGUACCCGUGCUAUGAAACAGCAGCUGAGCCACUGACUGUUGUGAUAGGUGUUACUUACAGAAUUUGAAAACAAAAGAUCCAGAUCCAGGAGAGUUAGUGCACUGCAUCCUCGGCUGCUUCUGCUGUGCUGCCUGAUGCCUGGGGGGAAAGGAUGCAAACCUUACAAAAGGUGAACUCUGGGUCGGCCAAAAAAUGUUAAAAGUUUGACUUGCUCUCUCCUACAAGCGGAAGAAAGCAAGUAAAAUCAGGUUCUGGGCUGGAGAAAGCUUCAGAUAAACUAGAGGCAAGAAGGGGAAAAAGGUCUGCAGGCUUUUCUUCAACGUGGCGGCGGCGGCUGCGGCGGCGGCGGCGGCGGCGGCUGCGGCUGCUGCUGCUGCUGCUGCUGCAGCAGCAGCAGCAGCAGCCCCUCCCAGCACUCGCGCCCGAGCUCCCCGGCCGCUGUGCGGUACCCUGAUGAGGAAGCUUGAGACACGUAGAGGUUAACGGGUGAAGGAACUUGCCCAAAGUCACCUGGCCGGCAAGAAGUGAGUCAGAUUGCUACGCAGGCCUGAAAGAAACAGAGAGGUGUGGUAUCUGACCCCCAAAUCUGGAAUACACUGCAGUGUCCAGUGUCCUCUGGAUCAAAAGGCAAGUGAACAUGUCCAUCGGCAUGAAUCAGAUUACCAUGGAUCUGUGUAUGGAUUGAGCAUGAUGUCUCCUAAGUGCAUGAAAGACCACGGGGUGUCGUGUCAAUAUGCACACGUCACAGAGAACAGUUCCUGGUCCAUAUCAAGCUCUAUACAUGUCUUUGCUUCUACCGACAUCAGUAUCAGCAUCCUCAUCCUCAUCAUUAUGGGAAGUAGCAUAACCAUACUAUAAUGAUAAACAGAACAACAGACACAAAAGUAUGAAGACAUUACCUCCCCCCAUCUCCUAAUCUUUAAAAAUGCAGAGAAAAAACCUGGAAGGCAGUAGACUACAUAUUAAGUGUUUUUCUCUUGAGUGUGAAAUUCUAGAUAAUGCCCAAAUAACCUUUUUUUUUUUUUUGGCGGUACACGGGCCUCUCACUGUUGUGGCCUCUCCCGUUGCGGAGCACAGGCUCCGGAGGCGCAGGCUCAGUGGCCAUGGCUUAUGGGCCUAGCCGCUCCACGGCAUGUGGGAUCUUCCCGGACCGGGGCACGAACCCGUGUCCCCUGCAUCGGCAGGCGGACUCUCAACCACUGCACCACCAGGGAAGCCCCCAAAUAACCUUUUAAUGUGCUGUAUCUUCAUUGUUACGUAGCCAGUUUUUCUAUUAUAAUUUAAAACUAGUUUUUCUGAAGACCUGUUCUCUUAGGUAUCUUGACGUUUCAGGAUGAAAAAAAAUUGUUUUGGUAUCCUUGCCAAGUGAAAACCCAGUCAGCACACUUAAGUGAGGAGUAUGAUCUUUGGUACAGUGGGGGGUGUGGGGUGUGGGGUGUGGGGGGAGCAGAGAGGUCCCGAUGGAAGGUUAGCUAAGUCUGCAAGCGUUGUGAAAAAGGCCACGGACGAUAUAAGCCCAAACCAAACAACAACUCACAGGUCCCUAGGAAGAGACUGGUGUUCUAUCCACAUAAGUGUCUGUAUUAGGACUUCUUAGACCUUUGCUCUUUUGGCUCCCGUGGCACAGUGGGGCAGCGUGUGGCGCUUGUAACGCAGUCCUGCUUUGACCCAGGCUGUGGAUGAGAGUUGCAGCCUCCCCUGCAGCACCGCCCCUUUUGUGGGCCAACUGGAGCACUUUUCUUGGUGCCUGGGAGCCUCCAGAUUCAGAAGGGAAGGGAGACAGAAAAUGCGUAGCUCAGUAGGUAGAUCCGACCCUCCCAGAUAGAGCCAUGCACAGCAAGUGAGAUGCAGGUGCAGCUUGGUGCAGUAACCCGUUGGGAAUUAGCAGAGUCGGAUUGGGUGACUCAAGGAAGAAAUGUGGACGUGAAUGCAAAGGGGAGGAACCACAUUAAGAGGGGUAAACAGCUAUAAUUCCCAUUUCUGUAACAGGGUAGGGUACUCCAUUAUUGUUGGGAGAAGGCUCCCUGGUCUGAGCUCUGGGAGGGCGUCACGGCACUUUAGUGAUGAGCGUUCUGAGGAACCGCCAUCAACCCUAACCAGGGGGCGCUGAGUGUCUGAAGGCAGGAAGUCUCAGUCUUUACCCCUAACAGACACAGACAGCUUCUUAGCCCUGCUGAGAGUGGUGCUGUGGCACCUGAGGGAAGCUCAAAGUUGCCCUCUAGCAAAACUACCAGUGCUCCUUAUGUCCUAAUCCAGGUCAGGGUGGCUGCCCAGACACUGUGCACUGAUCCGGAUAAGUCUGAUGGUGUGUGUGUGUGUGUGUGUGUGUGUGUGUGUGUGACAAACAGUGACUUUAUUCAUUGAAUCGUUCACCAAGCUCCAACUGUGGUCAAGGCACUGUGCUGGAUGUCUGGGGAUACAUAAAAAAACAAACAAAAAAAUGGUCAGCUGGGUAUCUGCUCAGUCAGCUGACUGACAAGGACAAGGAGGGAUCAUAGAUACUGAAUGACAAGCCUGUGCCAGGCCUUAGAAGGAGUGAGAGGCAGGACGUGGGGGAAGAGCAGAGAGAGUCGAGGUGGAGCAAGCAAGGAACUAGGAGGACCGCGUGAGGGGCAGCUCCGAGUGAGACUGAUGGCCUCACCUGGACUUGACAUGCCCUUCCUAACUGAGCUCAGGUCCCUGACUCCAUGGCCACCUGUGCUCUGGGCACAGCAUCACAGACUCCACUAGCAGCCUGCGUUCAUUCAACAGUCCAUCGAUUGGACACGUAGUUGCGGGGCCUACACUGGGCACCAGCCACUUGGUACUUGGGAAACAUUCAGUGAACUGACCGGUGCUUUAAGGAUCUUGACCCAAGUUCCACUGUGAGGCCAGAACUGUGGCUGAUGGGGCAACAGAGUGACCCACACGUGUGUAAUGAACGUUGCAGCCUCCUUGGUUAGGAGUUUCCGGAAUUAGGGAUCGUAUGAAAGAUGCAAUGCUCCUCCCCCCACCAAAGGGAAGAGAAUCUGACUCGAGAUAUGCCCUGUUUACUCCAUUCUCCUGUGUCAUUUUUAACGCAGAAAUAACUGGUCCAAGAAGAGCUACCCUUUAUUGACCAAGUACAUUUGAGUCGAGGUCCUUCAUUCACUGAGGAAACAAGUUCGAAGCACCGACCAGACACUAGGUCUCCGCUACUGGGGCCAGUUUGGGGAUGCAGGGAUGAUGGGGGCUGCAACCUGCAAGCAGAUGACUGCCCCCUGUUGUGUGAGAAAACCCAUGGCAGGAUUUAAAUCAUAGAACCCUAGGAACACAGAAGAGAGCCUCUGACCCCCUGCCAUAGUGUGCGGGGUCGGGGGUGUGUGGUGUGUGGGUGUUUGGUCAGGACACACUUCUCAGGGGUGGGGAGGUUCUUCAGGUGGCACUUCGAUCAUCCACAGUUUACAGACACAAGCUGAAGAGCAGAGACAUGAACAUGGGUGGAGCCAGAUUUCCAUUCUCAGUCUGUUGGCUCCAGACCACCAUGGCAGCUGGGUCAGCUCCAGAGCUGUCAUGCAGCCACUACAAACACUUCCUCUGCCUCUGCUUGCCUCUCAGUUCCUUCCAUCUGAUAAAUAGAGUGAGACUGGUGGAGAUAUAACUGGGGGAGGGUUGAUUGCAAAGCCUCUCUGAUAUGGCAGAGUGCCCCCCACACACACAGGGGAGGCUGAAGUCCUGCCCGGCCGUUGGCUCUGAGGCAAUCCUUUUGCGCCGGUGGACUCCAGUUUCUUGGCUGCAAGGCAGCUCCUGCGAAGGCAAACACAGAGAGCGUCUUAGAACCUUUCAGGGUGGCUUUGCCCUACUGGGUUCCUGCAUUUCACAGGUGGACAUGGUAUUGGGACAAUGAUGACUUUCCUGUCACGGAACAACAUCUGCAUCUCGGCACCUGAAUCACAAGCCAAGUGGGUUGUCGUGACCGCAAAGAAGACGGGCUUUGCAGUCGGGCAGAACUAGGGCUUGACUGCCAGAUCCAGCCUUUACUGCAUCAGCGACCUAACCUCUUUGAGCUUGUUUCCUCGUCUAUGGAAGGCGGGGGUUGAUACUUCUCUGGAUCUAUGGGGAAUAAAACCGCAUAUGCCCGGCUCCCAUUAGCUCAGUAACUAGGCUCCGGGUGAACCAUUUUACACUGCGCCCUGUGUUAGGGACACAUCAGUGUGGAGGCAAGCAUGCCGGGGGCCUCUGGGCAUCUACUCCAUCCUCUGGCUGGGGUGGGGGUUGGGGUAGUGGCGGUGGAACUGGUGCCAUUUCCAUCUUUUUAAUUGUCUUUACAUAUCAAAGGCACACACUUCAUUUCAUACUUAGGUGUGCUCUGCUCAGAGGAGUUGUACUGAAUGAAGUCAGUCCUCACAGUUGAGUCUGUAGCAGGCAGAACCAGCAGUGGGGACACCUAAGGAGUUGCAGGAAGGUGCUGUCAGAUUCCCUAAGAGGGUCCCCAUACUGAGUGCGCAGCUGAUCCUUGCCUCCCUGAUGAUCACAGGGGACUAGUAAAUCACAGCCUUGCAUGGGGAGGACCCGUUAAUAUACUUUCUCCUGUCCUAACAGAAACUCAGACUAUAAACUAUAGUGAAAAUCUCAUCAAAACAAAGUCCAUGGGUAGGGCAGUUCAAAGCCUGUUCAAUUUACUGGGUCACAGAUACCAUAAAGUGACAGAUUUUUUUUCCCAUUGUUCAGCUUAUCCCUCCUCACUGUGAAGCAGGUGGUCACCCUGGAUCCCUCUAUGCUUCCAAAACUGUGGCCAAAUUCCAAAGGUCAUAUUCAAAGGCAACAGUGGGCCCGUAUAACAUAAGGCGAGAGAGCUUUUCUGUCUGUAUCCUGUUCUUAGCAAGGAAGCCUUUCCCAGAAAAACUCAGCCAUCAGAUUGCAUUUCAAAUCAGCUCACUGUGAACCACAGUAAAAUGUGUGUCCGUGUGGGGAAUUCAUAAUGAAAUCUCCAUCACCUUCCAUUCGGUAAAAAUAUCAAAUCUGGUAACUGUGACUUUUCAUCCAGGUACUCCUCAGGAAAAAUGGAAAUUGCUCUACCCAGCCUGACAGCUGAACCUAAGAAGGAAUCAGACAGAUGAGGAGGGAGGAAGGGCAUGUAAGAUGGAGGGAACAGCACGUGUGAGGUUGUGAAAUCUGUGGGUGGUGGGGGCCGGGAGCGGGGCGGGCAGGGGGGGCGAGGGAGGACGAGUGUGAGCACACCAGCCAUCUGAUGAACAGAAAGAGGUCUGGGUGCGCUGGAAUAUCAAGUGGGGCUUGGAGCGGAAGGAGGGGGUCUGGUGACGAUCAGACGUUUGGGGGCAGGCAAGGCCUGUGCUUAGUCCAGGAGGCUGGACAUUAUCCUAAGAGCAGCGGGCAGCCCCUGCAGAGUUUUGAGCAGGGCUGUCAUGCCCAGGUUAGGACUUAAGAAAGCUUCCUCAGGCAGUAGGAUAGACAAUGCGUUGGAAAACAUCAGGAUUGCUGGUGGUGGUCAAGGAGAGAGAUGAGGGUGACGUGGAACUCACUGUGCCGAUGGAGAGAAGUGUCAGGAUCUUGCUUAGAAAGACUUAGGAGGCAGAAAGGUGGGGCUUGAUGACUGAGAGGGUGGUGAGAGAGAGGCAGCAGGCAAGGAUGGCCUUAAGGAUCUCUGGCCUAAGCAGCUGGGGAGAAGGCUGCCUUGCCCUGAGUUAGGCAACAGUAGAGGAGGUGCAGCUAUGUGGGGAGGGGUUGUGGAUGGGUUCAGUUUGGACUUGUUGAGUAUUCCUUGCCUUUGGGGCUCAAACACGUAUUACCUGAAUGACUUGGGGUAGCUGACCUAACCUCUCUGUGCCCAAGAUGCCUCAACUGUGAUAGCAGGCUCAAUGUAAAAUAAUCCUAGUUGAUGAGGUGGGAAAGCAGAGACUACAGAGAAGCUAGGGGAGCUGCUCAGAGUCACACAGGCCGUCAGAGGAGGAGUGACCCACAAACGUAGGCAUACUCGAUUCAGAGCCCACACUCUUUAUUUUUUUAAUUAAAUCCGACAUACCAUAUUACAUUAGUUUCAGGCGCACAACAAAGUGAUUCCACACUUUUAAACAUUAGGAAAUGAAUAACACGAUAAGUUUGGUUACCAUCUGUCACCAUACAGGCUUAUUACAAUAUUAUUGACUAUAUUCCGUGUAUGUACAUUUCAUCCCCGUGACUUAUUUAUUUUAUAACUGGAAGUAUGUACCUCCUAAUCCCUUCACCUAUUUUACACAACUCCCCACCCGCUCCCCCUCUGGCAACCACCAGUUUGUUCUCUGUGUCUCUAACUCUGUUUCUGUUUUGUUCCCUGUGCUCACUUGUUUUGUUUUUGAGGUUCCACAUACAAAUAAAACCGUGUGGUAUUUGUA